UCACUUGGCGGCGUGCCUAUACAUGCAGUCGAGCGACUGAUUAGAAGCUUGCUUCUAUGACGUUAGCGGCGGACGGGUGAGUAACACGUGGGCAACCUGCCUGUAAGACUGGGAUAACUCCGGGAAACCGGAGCUAAUACCGGAUAACAUUUUCUCUUGCAUAAGAGAAAAUUGAAAGAUGGUUUCGGCUAUCACUUACAGAUGGGCCCGCGGUGCAUUAGCUAGUUGGUGAGGUAACGGCUCACCAAGGCAACGAUGCAUAGCCGACCUGAGAGGGUGAUCGGCCACACUGGGACUGAGACACGGCCCAGACUCCUACGGGAGGCAGCAGUAGGGAAUCUUCCGCAAUGGACGAAAGUCUGACGGAGCAACGCCGCGUGAGUGAUGAAGGCUUUCGGGUCGUAAAACUCUGUUGUUAGGGAAGGACAAGUUCACGAGUAACUGCUUGUACCCUGACGUUACCUAACCAGGAAGCCACGGCUUACUAGGUGCCAGCAGACCCGGUAAUACUUAGGUGCCAAGCGCCAUCCGGAUUUAUUUGGCGUACAGCGCGUUCAGGUGGUUUCUUAAGUCUGAUGUGAAAGCCCACGGCUCACCGUGGAGGGUCAUUGGAAACUGGGGAACUUGAGUGCAGAGAGAAAGCGGAAUUCCACGUGUAGCGGUGAAAUGCGUAGAGAUGUGGAGGAACACCAGUGGCGAAGGCGGCUUUUUGGUCUUGUACUGACGCUGAGGCGGCGAAGCGUGGGGGAGCAAACAGGAUUAGAAUACCCUGGUAGUCCACGCCGUAACGAUGAGUGCUAGGGGUUAGAGGGUUUCCGCCCUUUGUGGCUGCAGCUACGCAUUAGCACUCCGCUGGGGGGGUACGUCGCAGACUGGACUCAAGGAUGACGGGUCCGCAAGCGUGACAUGGGUAAUCGAGCACGCGGAGAACUACAAGCCUUGCAAACUCUCUC
rnacentral:rRNA from 2 species